ensembl:lincRNA
AGCCGACCUAGAUUUCCUGAGAACACCCUCUGUGUGCUGGUUUGCCUGGCUGCUCCUUCCUCCAGUUUCAGAGCUCCUUGUUCAUCAAACGUACCUACCUGCUUACUCUGAAUUUUCUCCCCCCAGUUCAGUACUUUUCGGAGAACUAGGUUACAGCAUCAUCAGACCACAUAUGAGGCCAGAGGGUGACCUGUGUUAAGUCUGAGGUGUAUGGUAAUAACAGUUGCCGUCUACUGAGGACGUUAGUAUUUCUUCGCAGCAAUGCAAGAACGGCCUAAUACACCUGCCACGUAACAAAGACUAAAU